rnacentral:misc_RNA from 1 species
GUGUAGAGUCGAGCCUGUAUAUA